rnacentral:lncRNA from 1 species
UCGAGUUGAGAUGAUCAUGAGAAGUCCAGAUAAAUUUUGAUAUAAUUUUUGAUUGAGUAUUUCAUUGAAAAAAAAUCUGAGAAAGUAUCUGAAUAGCACUGAUGAUUUUUAAUUAUCUUAAAAAAAUCUUAAAAAAAGAUAGAUGGCUCCCAAAAUUAAGAUAAUAAUGUCAAGAAAUUUUAAAAGAAUUUUGGGAGUA